UCAAACUAGGUCGAACCGUGUAUAGUGUAGUACCUCCAUACAUCUUAUAUUGACUGACAAUACAUCCGUACUUCUCUUUUUGUUUCUGAAUCCGAAAGUGCAGCAGAACUAACCUCAUGUAACCCACAAUUUAAUAAGAAAUUAAAAUUGUGGAGAUUUCAAGCAACGCAAACAAAUCUUAUAUUCUUAAUUUAGAGAUUUGUUCUGUCAGCGAGUUGUACAUGACAUAUGUUGAACGGAGUAUUGUAGAACACGAAGCUUUCCUUAUUCCUUUGAUCAAAUCAAAUAUAUGCCAAAUGAUUCAAAUGACCAGGCUGGAAACCAACGUCAAGCGACUUCUAACACGCUGCGAAUUAAUAGCGAAGGAUGAUCCACAUCAAGACUGGAAGCUCGAAAAAUAUAUACUUUCUCUAGAUGACAUGAUGAACAAACUGCAGACUUCACCAAAUAAACCAUCCAAGGAUACCAUGAUGGGCUACAUUAAGCGGAUAAAUUUUCUAAAAGGAGUCAUAAACGCAAUGAAAUUGUCAAAUCCAGUGGAGAGAGUGGUUGCUGCACAAUUGUUAUCGAAAAAUUCAGUAUCCACUAACAAUUCCGCCAGUACAAAUAUUACAACGCAAAUACAUCAGAAGACUGUCGCUAAAUACAAUCGGGAAUUACGGGCGGAAUUAUUUCAUAGCAACAGAGAAGCAAAUAAGGAUGGUGUACGACAGAGAUUAUCGAGCUCUAAUAUCAAAGAUGAAGAUCUGGAUGCUAUUUUGAAGUAUAAUCGUAAUAUUCAAGAGAAGAUCGCUGAGAAUAUGCUCUCCAUGACCAGCACUAUGAAAGAACAUGCAUUAGCGGCUAGUGCUAUCAUAAAAAAGGAUAUCGGUAUGCUGGAAAUGUCUGACAAAUUGACUGAUGUAAAUUCUAUAAAUUUAAAAAAGGAAUCCCUGAAGUUAGAAGAGCACACGAACUCAAAAUGGAGAUGCUGGGUAUGGCUUAUGAUAGCUUUCGUUCUGAUUGUAUUUUUUAACAUGGUAUUAUUUAUGAAAGUGACACGGAAAAAGAUUUAGGUAAUUUUCUAUAUUGAGGUGUUAUCAAUCGCGAUUGAAAUGAAUGGCUACGUUACAAUGCAUCUGACUAUAUGAGUCAUUGCUGAUAUUAUGAUGAUAGAAUUGUAUAGCCAUAAGUGUGCUUGUAAAAACAUCUGUGCCACCUAAAACCACUUGAAAAUCUGGCAGUAGUGUACGAGCGAUUUCAACGGUAACAGGAAAAAGGCCGGCAUAGUCUUUCAGGUUUCUCUCUGCUCCAAUGAUAAUGACUUUCUUAAAACGAUUACUUUACGAAUAUUCAAGUGAUUUAUAAAAAAAAAUAUAACAAAGUCAUAUGAA